rnacentral:rRNA from 1 species
CAGAGGGUGCAAACGUUGUUCGGAAUUACUGGGCGUAAAGCGCGCGUAGGCAGCAGCGUGUGUCGGGCGUGAAAUCCCACGGCUCAACCGUGGAAGUGCACUCGAAACUGCGCAGCUAGAGUCUCGGAGAGGAAGGCGGAAUGCUUGGUGUAGAGGUGAAAUUCGUAGAUAUCAAGCGGAACACCGGUGGCGAAGGCGGCCUUCUGGACGAUGACUGACGCUGAAGCGCGAAAGCGUGGGGAGCAAACAGGAUUAGAUACCCUGGUAGUCCACGCCGUAAACGAUGAGUGCUAGGUGUCACGGGCUUUGACCCUCGUGGUGCCGCAGCUAACGCGUUAAGCACUCCGCCUGGGGAGUACGGCCGCAAGGCUA